AUGCUCACUUUGGCAGCUCAUAUACUAAAAUUAGAAUGAUAGAAGAUUAGCAUGGUCCCUGCACAGGGAUGACACGCAAAUUCAUGAAGCAGUUCAUAGUAAA